rnacentral:rRNA from 1 species
UACGAAGGGGGCUAGCGUUGCUCGGAAUUACUGGGCGUAAAGCGCACGUAGGCGGUCUUUUAAGUCGGGGGUGAAAGCCUGUGGCUCAACCACAGAAUGGCCUUCGAUACUGGGACGCUUGAGUAUGGUAGAGGUUGGUGGAACUGCGAGUGUAGAGGUGAAAUUCGUAGAUAUUCGCAAGAACACCGGUGGCGAAGGCGGCCAACUGGACCAUUACUGACGCUGAUGCACGAAAGCGUGGGGAGCAAACAGG